CAGAGGGUGCGAGCGUUGUCCGGAAUCACUGGGCGUAAAGGGCGCGUAGGCGGCCCGAUAAGUAGGGGGUGAAAUCUUGCGGCUCAACCGCAAGGCUGCCUUCUAGACUGUCGGGCUUGAGCACAGUAGAGGCAGGUGGAAUUCCCGGCGUAGCGGUGGAAUGCGUAGAGAUCGGGAAGAACAUCGGUGGCGAAGGCGGCCUGCUGGGCUGUUGCUGACGCUGAGGCGCGACAGCGUGGGGAGCAAACAGGAUUAGAUACCCUGGUAGUCCACGCCGUAAACGAUGGGCACUAGGCGUCGGGGGGAGCGACCCUCCCGGUGCCGUCGCUAACGCAGUAAGUGCCCCGCCUGGGGAGUACGGCCGCAAGGCUG
rnacentral:rRNA from 1 species